rnacentral:rRNA from 1 species
UACCCGCUGGACUUAAGCAUAUCAAUAAGCGGAGGAAAAGAAACCAACAGGGAUUGCCCCAGUAACGGCGAGUGAAGCGGCAGCAGCUCAAAUUUGAAAUCUGGGGCCCUUGGCCCCCGAGUUGUAAUUUGGAGAGGCAUCUUCUGGGGGGAGCGCCGGCCCAUGUUCCUUGGAACAGGACGUCACAGAGGGUGAGAAUCCCGUGCGAGGCAGGUGGCCUCCUCCCAUGUGGAGGGCCUUCGACGAGUCGAGUUGUUUGGGAAUGCAGCUCCAAGUGGGUGGUAAAUUUCAUCUAAAGCUAAAUACUGGCGGGAGACCGAUAGCGCACAAGUAGAGUGAUCGAAAGAUGAAAAGCACUUUGAAAAUAGAGUCAAAAAGUACGUGAAAUUGUUGAAAGGGAAGCGCUUGAGACCAGACUCGGGCCCGGGCAAACACCGCGUCCUUCGGGGCCGUGCAAUUGCCUGGGCCUGGGCCAGCAUCAGUUGGUGUGGCGGGACAAAGGGGCGGGCAAUGUGGCUCCCCACGGGGAGUGUUAUUAGGCCCGCCCUGAAUGCCGCCGACGUCGACUGAGGACCGCGCUCGGCUAGGAUGC